rnacentral:rRNA from 1 species
AUUGAACGCUGGCGGCAGGCCUAACACAUGCAAGUCGAGCGGGGUUUUCGGACCUAGCGGCGGACGGGUGAGUAAUGCGUAGGAAGCUGCCCGAUAGAGGGGGAUACCAGUUGGAAACGACUGUUAAUACCGCAUAAUGUCUACGGACCAAAGUGUGGGACCUUCGGGCCACAUGCUAUCGGAUGCGCCUACGUGGGAUUAGCUAGUUGGUGAGGUAAUGGCUCACCAAGGCGACGAUCUCUAGCUGGUUUGAGAGGAUGAUCAGCAACACUGGAACUGAGACACGGUCCAGACUCCUACGGGAGGCAGCAGUGGGGAAUAUUGGCCAAUGGGCGCAAGCCUGAUCCAGCCAUGCCGCGUGUGUGAAGAAGGCCUUCGGGUUGUAAAGCACUUUCAGCGAGGAGGAAGGGUGGUGUGUUAAUAGCACAUCAUUUUGACGUUACUCGCAGAAGAAGCACCGGCUAACUCUGUGCCAGCCGCCGCUGUAACAC